rnacentral:ncRNA from 1 species
GAUAUCGCGUUGAUGAGGAGAAGUAAGAAAAGGAUGCUUAGUAGAGAGAACCAUCACCGGCUGAAAGUGGUUUAAGCCCCUCCGAUUCUGAAAUGCACCUCUGAGCCCGUUACUGAAAUAGAGUAGGUAAAGGCGGUUUCCUACCGUUAACAGGAUUCGAGUUGGAGAAGAUUUUGUCUUCUCAAUCAGAGUGGAACCGCGCCUAUAAAGCGUCUCUGUC